rnacentral:rRNA from 1 species
CUACGGGACGCUGCAGUGGGGAAUAUUGCACAAUGGAGGAAACUCUGAUGCAGCAACGCCGCGUGGAGGAUGACACUUUUCGGCGCGUAAACGCCUUUUAUAUAGGAAGAUAAUGACGGUACUAUAUGAAUAAGCACCGGCUAACUCCGUGCCAGCAGCCGCGGUAAUACGGAGGGUGCAAGCGUUACUCGGAAUCACUGGGCGUAAAGAGCGUGUAGGCGGGUUAAUAAGUCAGAAGUGAAAUCCUAUGGCUCAACCAUAGAACUGCUUUUGAAACUGUUAACCUAGAGUGUGGGAGAGGUAGAUGGAAUUUCUGGUGUAGGGGUAAAAUCCGUAGAGAUCAGAAGGAAUACCGAUUGCGAAGGCGAUCUACUGGAACAUAACUGACGCUGAGACGCGAAAGCGUGGGGAGCAAACAGGAUUAGAUACCCCGGUAGUC